AUUAAUGAGUCUAGGUAAAACAUCUGCACAGUUUUGUUCCUUGUCCCAAGUCUUUCAUUUCUGUUUUAUAACUGUAAAAUAGAUGUUGGCAUAUGAAAUAGGCAGAAAAAUCUGGAGUUGCUGUUUCUUGACAUAGCCAGUGAUGGUACUUGCUUGUUCUUCUGUCAGCAGGUUUUCAAACAGUGCAUAGGGAAAUUGGGGAAGCAAAUACAAUAGGAAGGGUGGUCCCGUUGGAGAUUUCAGAAUCCUUAUAUCAAUGAAUAUUGUUUGAUGAACAGGUGUAAUCUGGUGAAACCUCUGCUUUUGUAAAAUCCUGUAUGAAGUUGUUCACUUUUAUUUCUAUUUAUUUUAUUUUAACAUGGAUUUUUAUAAAUCUAAUAGCAUAUUGUUCUCUCUGCAGAGUUUUAUAAUUUAUUUGGAAAUAUUUUAAAAUUUCCCUUGUGAUUUUUUUCCCCUUGAUCCUAGGAUUGUAUAGAAGUGUGUUGUUUAAUUUCCAAAUAUAUGAGAUUUUUCUAGAUAUCUUAUUGAUUUCUAAUUUAAUUUCACUGUGGUCAGAGAUAUUCAGUCUCUUUAAAUGUAUUCUUAUACUAUAUCUCAGCAUAUGGUCUAUCUUAGUGAAUAGUCUUAUAUGUACUUGAAAAUUGCAGUUGUGAAUAAAGUGUUCUCUGUGUAUUAUUAAUCCAUUUUGUAUCAAUACAAUGAAAUACAAAGAUAGACUGACUUUGUAAAGUAAAGAGGUUUAUUUAGCUCAUGGUUUUGGAGGCUGAAAGGUCAAAUAGCAUGGUGCAGUCUUGGGCGAGGACCUUUCUGGUCUCAUAAAGCCAUCAAUAUUCAGUCAUAGUGGUCCCACCACAAUGACUUUAUCUAAUCCUAAUUAUCUCCCAAAUGGCCUACCAUUAAAUUCCAUAGUCUCAUUAAAUUUCUACCCAGUGGGGAUUAAAUUUCAUCAUGAGUUUGGUGGGAGAGUGGGUUCACAAACAAUUUUUAAAUUAUAGAACCAUAUAUGUGUCAUUUAGGUCAGAGUGGUUGAGUUUUGGUUAGAUCUUCUCUUAUCUUUUUUGUUGUUUUUAACUUAUUGAGUUUGUGGGGAUGUUAUUUGUUUGUUUUUGGCCAAGUUGUAACAGUUACU
rnacentral:lncRNA from 1 species